UACGUAGGGGGCAAGCGUUGUCCGGAUUUAUUGGGCGUAAAAGGCUUGUAGGUGGCCACGCCAAGUCGGAUGUGAAAUCUCCCGGCUCAACUGGGAGGGGUCAUUCGAUACUGGUGGGCUCGAGGCCGGUAGGGGGAAGCGGAAUUCCCGGUGUAGUGGUGGAAUGCGUAGAUAUCGGGAGGAACACCAGUGGCGAAGGCGGCUUCCUGGACCGGUUCUGACACUGAGAGACGAAAGCUAGGGGAGCAAAUGGG
rnacentral:rRNA from 1 species